rnacentral:rRNA from 1 species
GACGAAGGGGGCUAGCGUUGUUCGGAAUUACUGGGCGUAAAGCGCGUGUAGGCGGUUGUUCAAGUCAGGUGUGAAAGCCUUGAGCUCAACUCAAGAAAUGCACUUGAUACUGGAUGACUAGAGGACCGGAGAGGAUAGUGGAAUCCCAGUGUAGUGGUGAAAUACGUAGAGAUUGGGAAGAACACCAGUGGCGAAGGCGGCUAUCUGGACGGUUUCUGACGCUAAGACGCGAAAGCGUGGGGAGCAAACAGG